AUGGAGAACAAAGACAGUAGGAUGACAACUGAAUGGAACUCAACAAUGGAAAACAGAACGCAAUCAGAUAGCAAACAAACAAGAACUGACAUGAAAACCCAAAAAGAAACUAUAAAAAGACAAAGGCAACUGAUAUGUCAAGUAAUGGAGGAGAUCGAACAACUCUGGAGACAGACAGAAAGAAAAAGAAAUGAAAUUGACUUCUUAAAGACAAAGACAGAGGGGCAACAGGAAAACACUGAGAGACUGACAUCUGAAAAAAACAAACAGCACCUACUAUUAAAGCAAUUUAACUUCCAAAUAAAAAAUAUAACUGAGAAACUCAAAGAAAGCAAAAAUUCAGUUGCUAACGAAAAAACAAACCUUCUGAAAAUGUGGACUAAAAUAUACCAAGAGAAGGAUACUCUGGACAGAAGACGUCAUUACUUCAUCAAUGAGCGACACAGGCUAGACAGUAUAAAAGCUAGUAAGACAGAAUCACCAAUAAGGGAGGAACCCAAAGAGCUCCUUAAGCAGGUAAAGCAGGAACUGGAUAUACUGGAGAAUGCAACUGAGAAAAACAGGGAAAUAAUGGUUGAAGUAAAGAAAGUUAAAGAAAAAAUGGAGAAAACUAAAGCAAACAUACAGCAAGCAUUAAAAAGAAAUAAAGAGGACAUUUCAAAAAACAGUGAACAAAUUAACCACAUUAAACAUAUUAUGUAUGUAAAGAUCAACAUGGUCAAGCACAGAUGGGCAAGCAUUAUAAAACAGGCUGAAAUGAAGAAAAUUCACAUGUAUAAAGAAGGACAGAGAGAAAGAAAAGAUGGAAAAGCCACAUUUGACACAGUGAAGAGAAAAAUGUGUAGAAUCCAGGAAGAGAUGGAGAAACUUUGGGAUGUGCUGGAAGACAGUGAACAACAACUGGAAGUGACUCAAAGUGCAAAGCAGCAGCUAAUGGCAGAGAACAAUCCCGUGAACAUCAAGAUGAAUAUUAAUUAUCCAAAGCAACAAGCUUCAGAUCUAAGCUUGAAAGUGACACACAUCCAGUCUGAAAGAGAUGACUUAAAGAGAGUUAAAAUGAAACUAAAGACAGGAAGGGAAAAUGUAGAAAAAGACAAGCCAAAUACUUACAUGCAGAAUUUGAUCUCUGAGGAAGAAGAAAACAAUGAGGUGCUUUGUAUCAAGAGUGAAGAAACAAAGCAGAGCACGAGGGACUUUACAGAAGUAAAGGCUCAAACCAAAUGGACAAAUUUUCGAGAAAAGCAAAAAAGAAGGGAGCUUGAGCAUCUGCUCGAGAAGAUAAUGAAAGAGAGGGAUGAGUUAGAAAUCAUGAAGAGAAAAAUACAGCGACAAAAGGAAGGGGUUGAACAAAAACUGGAAAAUACUGUCACUGAGAUGAAAGGUAAAAUAGAAAAAACUGGUGCAGAAAUUAACAACACUUGGGAGAAAAUGCGGAGAACCCAAAGGGAGAUGAGUAAGAACGAGGAAGAAGCCAAGAACUAUAUGGAAAACCUAACAACCAUGAAAGCUUGGGUCAACAAAUGGAUAUCGACACAAUCUACAAUCAAAUAUACUUUUUCGGUGAAUGCAUCCAAACUUCAAGAAUCACAGAAAGAAAUAGACACAGACUCCCUCGAGGAUCAAACAUCAGCAAUUCCAAAGGACAAAAGGGGGACAGAAAAUAUAACAGAUACAACAUCAUUACAAAAUUCUGUAACAUUAGAUGAUCAGCAUCAAAAUAAAAAAAUUAAAGAACAACAGAAGGAGCAUUUUGAAUCCAAACAUUGUUUUGCAGAAGGCAAAAAUGGGGAGCAGGACUUUUGCUUACAGAUGCGAACUGAAAUUCAUGAAGAAGCAGUGCAUGAUAAAACUGAAUUACUGAUAAUUGUAAGAGAAAGGGAAGAAGUGGAAAAACUGAUAUGUAACCUAAAGCAGCAAGAGGGGGAAAUAAAGGAGCAAAUAAAGUACACUGUUGAUAACAUGAAAGAAAAAACUCAAGACAUCAAAAGGCUCAUUUUGGAAAUGAAUGACCUGCAGAGGGCAGACACUGUAAUUACAGUCGGCGAAACUGAAAAUGCCCAGGAAGUAUUAACUAAGCUGUUGGAAGAAACUGAACAGAGAAAGAUUUUGAUGGUGAACACCAAAGUUUUCAAAAAUGAAAUAAUGAAAUAUGAAGUACAAGAGGAGGACGAUGCCAAAAAAAUAAAACAAGAGUCUAGCUUGAUAAGACUUGAUAUUAACAAGCAAAAACAAAUUCAGAAAUCAGGAGAAGAGAUGAAAAAAUAUGUUGAACACACAGAUGAAAAUAAAAAGGACAGAGGAGCCGAUGUACAAAGACUCAGGGCAGAGAUUUACAAAACACAAGAGAUUAUAAGAACGCUAAGAGGAGGACUUGAGAACCUAGCGGAAAAAAGUAACAUGGACAAAGAUCAAAAGAAUGAAGGCAGUGAAAUUGAAGGAUUGCUAAAAGACAUCAAACAGUUUCAAGAGUUUUUGGAAAUUGUAAAAGCCACAAUAAAGCAAAGUGAAGUAUAUAUGACAGAAGAAAUGAGCAAUAUGAAAUCAAUUAAAACUGCAGUGAAAAAGAAGAGAAGAGAAUUAGAUCAAAGGUUAGAAAAUACUUCAAAAGAGAGAGACAGAUUAGACAUCUUUAAAAUAAAAAUGCAGAGGCAAACUGAACUGAUUCGGCAGAAUUUAGAAAAAAUGGCAAAAGUUAAGAGCACAAUCGAGAAAAUAGCCACUCAGACCAGAAGGAAAAUUGAAGAGAUAGAAAUUAGUAUGAAGGAGACUGAAAUAAAACUAAGACAGUUUAAAGACCUUGACUACAUUAACCUUAACUUAACAAAAGGCGCAAAACCAGACAUGGAACAUGGUACUACACCUAAGCAAAGAACUGCUCUUGAAAUUUUCAAGACUGAAAUUAGAAAGACAAUGGACAAUAAAAGAGAUAAACUGACAAAAACCAAAAUGGACAAAGAAACUGAGGGAACAGAAAUCCUCAAACAAGUUAAAGAGAAACUGGAUGAUGUAAGACUUUCAUUAGACAGUCUGGGUCAUAAAAAAAAAAAAUCAGUUAGUGAGACUGUGAAACAAAUAAUUAAGAGAGAAGAGACUGAGGUGACAGAACAGAUCCAAACAGCGAUAAAGAAUGAGAAAAUAGUUAAACAACUAACUGAAACAGAAAUACAGGAUGAACAGAUGAACCAUUUGAGGGAGAAAACUGAAAGACACAAACAGGAGCUUGAUGACAGAGUACACAUGACAAAAAGGCAAAUAAGAGAAAUGGAGCUGCUACAAUCAGAAUUGAAAAUAAAGACAAAAGAACUGGAGCGUUUAUUUAGAAAAACCAUGAGAAAAAAGGAGGAAAUUGAAAUAAUGUGGAAUGAAAUACAACGAGAAAAGGAAGCAUUGAGGACCGAGAUCAAAAAGAAAAGAAGAGAAUUAGACCAAAGACUGGAGAUAACUCUGAGAAAAAGGGAUGAACUAGAAAUGUUAAGGGUAAAAUUGAAACGACAGAUGGAAGAGCUGGCUGAGGAGAAGCAGAGAGACCAUAAUCUGUUCAUCCAUCUACCCAAUGAACAUGAAAAACAUUGGGAAAGCAAAGAUGUGAAAAUGUUCAUGGAGAAACUUAAAAACCACAGCUCAAAAGUUUCUCAUUAUAUUAUUUACAUCCAAAACAUAAGAGACAGGGUUAAUUUACACAUGGGAACAAUUAGGACAGAGAUGAAAAUUCUAGAAAAUGUGAAUGCUCAUUUAGAAAAGGACAGGAAGGGAUUCAGAGAAGUUGAGGCUGAAAAUAAGAAUAUAACAAACAAAAUGAGGAGAUUAAAAUAUCAGCUUAAUUUAAUCUUUGGAAGAGUUACCAUACAAGACACUGCAGAGAUGGAUGAAACAAUCAACAUGUGGGAAAAAAUCCAAAGACAAAAACAGAGGCUUGAUAUGAGACUAGAAAGUAUUAAAAGGGAAAGACAAGAGAUCGAAGCUCUGGUGGUUGAGCUGGAGAUGAAGAAAAGAGAAAACCAACGUGUAAUCAAAAGAAGCAUUCAAAAAGAACAGAAGAUAAAAAGAAUAUGGGUUACUUUCAAAGAAGAAAGAACUGCCCUCGUGAGAGAAACAAAGCAGAAAAAGGAGCUUGAACAACGACGAGCGGAGAUCAUCAAACAUCAAGGUAAACAAGAAAAAAAGCAGAAGUUGCAAAAAGGAAAGAAAGGGAUGAAAAGUGAAAUUGAAGACAUGAGGAUGACAGAAAAAAGGAAGCAAAUUAAAAAGCAUUGGGAACUAAUCAACAAAUACUUAGGGGAAUAUAACAAGGUAAUUAAAAACACUCAAAUCAUCAUUGGAAUAAUUCAGAAUGAAAAUAAGCACAUGCAAGACCAAAAGAAUUUCUACAUGACCAGAAGAAAAGAAGUACUGAAUAUGAAAAGCGAGUUAGAUAGGCAAAAGGAAAUUAUACGGUGCGCAUUAAAAAACAUAAAACAAGAGCGAAAACAUGGGGAACAAGUGGAGACAAAAAUCAAGACAGAGCAAGAAAAAAAUGAAAACGGAUGGAAAAAACAAUUUCAGAUAGAAAAAGAUGCCAUUGAUGACUUGAGUGCAGACAAGAGUCAAGACAAAGAAGAUGUUAAAAGAAUGACUGAGAUGUUGAAGAAGAACCAGAAACUUGAAAUGAGAGGCUGUAAAGUCAAAAAAGAAAUUGACAUAUUAAAACAAAAAAAGGAAGACAUAAAAGAGGAAAAGAAAACCAGUGAAAUAAAAGAAACGGGAAAAAAAAUAACGCUUAAGGAUGGUAUGAAAAGGGUUGUAUUACAAGACACAAAACAAGACUUCAUAAAAAAAGAGAUCAAAAAACGAAACCAGGGAAAACAAAAAGUCAACCAGAUGAGAACUAGACGUGACAAUAGAAAAGAACUGUUGUUGAAGGAAAGGAGAAAUAUCAUAGAUGAGCAGAAAGAGAUGGAAAUGAGAGGACACCAAGUCAUGACAGAAAUGAAAUCAAUAGAGAUUCUGAAAGUGAAACUUCAACAACUGAAAGAGGAUAUAAAAGCUAAAACGGACAGAUUACUACAAAAUGUUGACAACAGGUCCAUGCUGCAAACAGUGUUGGAAGAAAAACUUACAACUCAAGACAAACAGAAAGAAAACAUUUGCUAUUUCACUGAAAUGUUAGAGAGGGAAAGGGAAGGUGUGAGAACUAUCCUUUCAGAAAUGAUCACCAAGAGAGAAUGCACAGAAAAAGAAUGGAAGCAGCAGUUUGAACUGGACAAACGAGAUCUUGAUAAACUGAAAGAAGAUCUGAGACAAGACAGAGAAGAUCUGGAGAGAGAAAGUGAGGUGCUGAAUAAAGAGAAAAUGGAUUUGAAGCUGUUGAUGUCUGACAUGAAGAAACAAUUUGAAAUAUUGGAAGAAAAGAGACAAAAUGUAAAAGAAGAGAGAGACUCAAUGGAAAUCAUGAAGCUUGAACUGCUCAAUAAGAUGGAACAUGUAAAAAGGCUGUUAAAUGAGGCAAAUAAAGAAAAAGCCAAUAUUAAAGUUUGUAUCCUUCAGGUUCAAACGGAAAAAGAAAGACUUGAAGACAUUUUAAGCAAGAUUUUCUUAACACAUAGUGAACAAAAAGUCAAGGAAGAUGACCUCAGAAGACAAACAAAAGAACUGGAAAUGAAGAAGAAGCAAUUACAGAGUGAAAGAGAAAAAGUGGAGAGUCUGAUGAGGAAUCUCAACAAGAAGCAAGAAGAGCUUGAACGUGCAAAGGAAAUCAUGAGUGAAGAAAAAGAAGAGGUGAAACAGAUGAAGACUGACAUUGCCAAAGAACGAGAACUGUUGUUGAAGGAAAGGAGAAAUAUGGAAGAAGAGCGGUCUGAGAUGGAAAUGAGAGGAGACCAAGUCAUGGAUGAAAUGAAAUCAAUAGAGAUUCUGAAAGUGAAACUUCAACAACUGAAAGAGGAUAUAAAAGCUAAAACGGACAGAUUACUACAAAAUGUUGACAACAGGUCCAUGCUGCAAACAGUGUUGGAAGAAAAACUUACAACUCAAGACAAACAGAAAGAAAACAUUUGCUAUUUCACUGAAAUGUUAGAGACGGAAAGGGAAGGUGUGAGAACUAUCCUUUCAGACAUGAUCACCAAGAGAGAAUGCACAGAAAAAGAAUGGAAGCAGCAGUUUGAACUGGACAAACGAGAUCUUGAUAAACUGAAAGAAGAUCUGAGACAAGACAGAGAAGAUCUGGAGAGAGAAAGUGAGGUGCUGAAUAAAGAGAAAAUGGAUUUGGAGCUGUUGAUGUCUGACAUGAAGAAACAAUUUGAAAUAUUGGAAGAAAAGAGACAAAAUGUAAAAGAAGAGAGAGACUCAAUGGAAAUCAUGAAGCUUGAACUGCUCAAUAAGAUGGAACAUGUAAAAAGGCUGUUAAAUGAGGCAAAUAAAGAAAAAGCCAAUAUUAAAGUUUGUAUCCUUCAGGUUCAAACGGAAAAAGAAAGACUUGAAGACAUUUUAAGCAAGAUUUUCUUAACACAUAGUGAACAAAAAGUCAAGGAAGAUGACCUCAGAAGACAAACAAAAGAACUGGAAAUGAAGAAGAAGCAAUUACAGAGUGAAAGAGAAAAAGUGGAGAGUCUGAUGAGGAAUCUCAACAAGAAGCAAGAAGAGCUUGAACGUGCAAAGGAAAUCAUGAGUGAAGAAAAAGAAGAGGUGAAACAGAUGAAGACUGACAUUGCCAAAGAACGAGAACUGUUGUUGAAGGAAAGGAGAAAUAUGGAAGAAGAGCGGUCUGAGAUGGAAAUGAGAGGAGACCAAGUCAUGGAUGAAAUGAAAUCAAUAGAGAUUCUGAAAGUGAAACUUCAACAACUGAAAGAGGAUAUAAAAGCUAAAAUGGACAGAUUACUACAAAAUGUUGACAACAGGUCCAUGCUGCAAACAGUGUUGGAAGAAAAACUUACAACUCAAGACAAACAGAAAGAAAACAUUUGCUAUUUCACUGAAAUGUUAGAGACGGAAAGGGAAGGUGUGAGAACUAUCCUUUCAGACAUGAUCACCAAGAGAGAAUGCACAGAAAAAGAAUGGAAGCAGCAGUUUGAACUGGACAAACGAGAUCUUGAUAAACUGAAAGAAGAUCUGAGACAAGACAGAGAAGAUCUGGAGAGAGAAAGUGAGGUGCUGAAUAAAGAGAAAAUGGAUUUGAAGCUGUUGAUGUCUGACAUGAAGAAACAAUUUGAAAUAUUGGAAGAAAAGAGACAAAAUGUAAAAGAAGAGAGAGACUCAAUGGAAAUCAUGAAGCUUGAACUGCUCAAUAAGAUGGAACAUGUAAAAAGGCUGUUAAAUGAGGCAAAUAAAGAAAAAGCCAAUAUUAAAGAUUGUAUCCUUCAGGUUCAAACGGAAAAAGAAAGACUUGAAGACAUUUUAAGCAAGAUUUUCUUAACACAUAGUGAACAAAAAGUCAAGGAAGAUGACCUCAGAAGACAAACAAAAGAACUGGAAAUGAAGAAGAAGCAAUUACAGAGUGAAAGAGAAAAAGUGGAGAGUCUGAUGAGGAAUCUCAACAAGAAGCAAGAAGAGCUUGAACGUGCAAAGGAAAUCAUGAGUGAAGAAAAAGAAGAGGUGAAACAGAUGAAGACUGACAUUGCCAAAGAACGAGAACUGUUGUUGAAGGAAAGGAGAAAUAUGGAAGAAGAGCGGUCUGAGAUGGAAAUGAGAGGAGACCAAGUCAUGGAUGAAAUGAAAUCAAUAGAGAUUCUGAAAGUGAAACUUCAACAACUGAAAGAGGAUAUAAAAGCUAAAACGGACAGAUUACUACAAAAUGUUGACAACAGGUUCAUGCUGCAAACAGUGUUGGAAGAAAAACUUACAACUCAAGACAAACAGAAAGAAAACAUUUGCUAUUUCACUGAAAUGUUAGAGAGGGAAAGGGAAGGUGUGAGAACUAUCCUUUCAGACAUGAUCACCAAGAGAGAAUGCACAGAAAAAGAAUGGAAGCAGCAGUUUGAACUGGACAAACGAGAUCUUGAUAAACUGAAAGAAGAUCUGAGACAAGACAGAGAAGAUCUGGAGAGAGAAAGUGAGGUGCUGAAUAAAGAGAAAAUGGAUUUGAAGCUGUUGAUGUCUGACAUGAAGAAACAAUUUGAAAUAUUGGAAGAAAAGAGACAAAAUGUAAAAGAAGAGAGAGACUCAAUGGAAAUCAUGAAGCUUGAACUGCUCAAUAAGAUGGAACAUGUAAAAAGGCUGUUAAAUGAGGCAAAUAAAGAAAAAGCCAAUAUUAAAGUUUGUAUCCUUCAGGUUCAAACGGAAAAAGAAAGACUUGAAGACAUUUUAAGCAAGAUUUUCUUAACACAUAGUGAACAAAAAGUCAAGGAAGAUGACCUCAGAAGACAAACAAAAGAACUGGAAAUGAAGAAGAAGCAAUUACAGAGUGAAAGAGAAAAAGUGGAGAGUCUGAUGAGGAAUCUCAACAAGAAGCAAGAAGAGCUUGAACGUGCAAAGGAAAUCAUGAGUGAAGAAAAAGAAGAGGUGAAACAGAUGAAGACUGACAUUGCCAAAGAACGAGAACUGUUGUUGAAGGAAAGGAGAAAUAUGGAAGAAGAGCGGUCUGAGAUGGAAAUGAGAGGAGACCAAGUCAUGGAUGAAAUGAAAUCAAUAGAGAUUCUGAAAGUGAAACUUCAACAACUGAAAGAGGAUAUAAAAGCUAAAACGGACAGAUUACUACAAAAUGUUGACAACAGGUCCAUGCUGCAAACAGUGUUGGAAGAAAAACUUACAACUCAAGACAAACAGAAAGAAAACAUUUGCUAUUUCACUGAAAUGUUAGAGACGGAAAGGGAAGGUGUGAGAACUAUCCUUUCAGACAUGAUCACCAAGAGAGAAUGCACAGAAAAAGAAUGGAAGCAGCAGUUUGAACUGGACAAACGAGAUCUUGAUAAACUGAAAGAAGAUCUGAGACAAGACAGAGAAGAUCUGGAGAGAGAAAGUGAGGUGCUGAAUAAAGAGAAAAUGGAUUUGGAGCUGUUGAUGUCUGACAUGAAGAAACAAUUUGAAAUAUUGGAAGAAAAGAGACAAAAUGUAAAAGAAGAUCUGAGUCAAGACAGAGAAGAUCUGGAGAGAGAAAGGGAAGGUGUGAGAACUAUCCUUUCAGACAUGAUCACCAAGAGAGAAUGCACAGAAAAAGAAUGGAAGCAGCAGUUUGAACUGGACAAACGAGAUCUUGAUAAACUGAAAGAAGAUCUGAGACAAGACAGAGAAGAUCUGGAGAGAGAAAGUGAGGUGCUGAAUAAAGAGAAAAUGGAUUUGAAGCUGUUGAUGUCUGACAUGAAGAAACAAUUUGAAAUAUUGGAAGAAAAGAGACAAAAUGUAAAGAAGAGAGAGACUCAAUGGAAAUCAUGAAGCUUGAACUGCUCAAUAAGAUGGAACAUGUAAAAAGGCUGUUAAAUGAGGCAAAUAAAGAAAAAGCCAUCCUUCAGGUUCAAACGGAAAAAGAAAGACUUGAAGACAUUUUAAGCAAGAUUUUCUUAACACAUAGUGAACAAAAAGUCAAGGAAGAUGACCUCAGAAGACAAACAAAAGAACUGGAAAUGAAGAAGAAGCAAUUACAGAGUGAAAGAGAAAAAGUGGAGAGUCUGAUGAGGAAUCUCAACAAGAAGCAAGAAGAGCUUGAACGUGCAAAGGAAAUCAUGAGUGAAGAAAAAGAAGAGGUGAAACAGAUGAAGACUGACAUUGCCAAAGAACGAGAACUGUUGUUGAAGGAAAGGAGAAAUAUGGAAGAAGAGCGGUCUGAGAUGGAAAUGAGAGGAGACCAAGUCAUGGAUGAAAUGAAAUCACUAGAGAUUCUGAAAGUGAAACUUCAACAACUGAAGCAGCAUAUAAAAGCUAAAACGGACAGAUUACUACAAAAUGUUGACAACAGGUCCAUGCUGCAAACAGUGUUGGAAGAAAAACUUACAACUCAAGACAAACAGAAAGAAAACAUUUGCUAUUUCACUGAAAUGUUAGAGAGGGAAAGGGAAGGUGUGAGAACUAUCCUUUCAGACAUGAUCACCAAGAGAGAAUGCACAGAAAAAGAAUGGAAGCAGCAGUUUGAACUGGACAAACGAGAUCUUGAUAAACUGAAAGAAGAUCUGAGACAAGACAGAGAAGAUCUGGAGAGAGAAAGUGAGGUGCUGAAUAAAGAGAAAAUGGAUUUGAAGCUGUUGAUGUCUGACAUGAAGAAACAAUUUGAAAUAUUGGAAGAAAAGAGACAAAAUGUAAAGAAGAGAGAGACUCAAUGGAAAUCAUGAAGCUUGAACUGCUCAAUAAGAUGGAACAUGUAAAAAGGCUGUUAAAUGAGGCAAAUAAAGAAAAAGCCAAUAUUAAAGUUUGUAUCCUUCAGGUUCAAACGGAAAAAGAAAGACUUGAAGACAUUUUAAGCAAGAUUUUCUUAACACAUAGUGAACAAAAAGUCAAGGAAGAUGACCUCAGAAGACAAACAAAAGAACUGGAAAUGAAGAAGAAGCAAUUACAGAGUGAAAGAGAAAAAGUGGAGAGUCUGAUGAGGAAUCUCAACAAGAAGCAAGAAGAGCUUGAACGUGCAAAGGAAAUCAUGAGUGAAGAAAAAGAAGAGGUGAAACAGAUGAAGACUGACAUUGCCAAAGAACGAGAACUGUUGUUGAAGGAAAGGAGAAAUAUGGAAGAAGAGCGGUCUGAGAUGGAAAUGAGAGGAGACCAAGUCAUGGAUGAAAUGAAAUCACUAGAGAUUCUGAAAGUGAAACUUCAACAACUGAAGCAGCAUAUAAAAGCUAAAACGGACAGAUUACUACAAAAUGUUGACAACAGGUCCAUGCUGCAAACAGUGUUGGAAGAAAAACUUACAACUCAAGACAAACAGAAAGAAAACAUUUGCUAUUUCACUGAAAUGUUAGAGAGUAAAGGAAGGUGUGAGAACUAUCCUUUCAGACAUGAUCACCAAGAGAGAAUGCACAGAAAAAGAAUGGAAGCAGCAGUUUGAACUGGACAAACGAGAUCUUGAUAAACUGAAAGAAGAUCUGAGACAAGACAGAGAAGAUCUGGAGAGAGAAAGUGAGGUGCUGAAUAAAGAGAAAAUGGAUUUGAAGCUGUUGAUGUCUGACAUGAAGAAACAAUUUGAAAUAUUGGAAGAAAAGAGACAAAAUGUAAAAGAAGAGAGAGACUCAAUGGAAAUCAUGAAGCUUGAACUGCUCAAUAAGAUGGAACAUGUAAAAAGGCUGUUAAAUGAGGCAAAUAAAGAAAAAGCCAAUAUUAAAGUUUGUAUCCUUCAGGUUCAAACGGAAAAAGAAAGACUUGAAGACAUUUUAAGCAAGAUUUUCUUAACACAUAGUGAACAAAAAGUCAAGGAAGAUGACCUCAGAAGACAAACAAAAGAACUGGAAAUGAAGAAGAAGCAAUUACAGAGUGAAAGAGAAAAAGUGGAGAGUCUGAUGAGGAAUCUCAACAAGAAGCAAGAAGAGCUUGAACGUGCAAAGGAAAUCAUGAGUGAAGAAAAAGAAGAGGUGAAACAGAUGAAGACUGACAUUGCCAAAGAACGAGAACUGUUGUUGAAGGAAAGGAGAAAUAUGGAAGAAGAGCGGUCUGAGAUGGAAAUGAGAGGAGACCAAGUCAUGGAUGAAAUGAAAUCACUAGAGAUUCUGAAAGUGAAACUUCAACAACUGAAGCAGCAUAUAAAAGCUAAAACGGACAGAUUACUACAAAAUGUUGACAACAGGUCCAUGCUGCAAACAGUGUUGGAAGAAAAACUUACAACUCAAGACAAACAGAAAGAAAACAUUUGCUUUUCACUGAAAUGUUAGAGAGGGAAAGGAAGGUGUGAGAAUAUCCUUUCAGACAUGUCACCAAGAGAGAAUGCACAGAAAAAGAAUGGAAGCAGCAGUUUGAACUGGACAAACGAGAUCUUGAUAAACGGAAAGAAGAUCUGAGACAAGACAGAGAAGAUCUGGAGAGAGAAAGUGAGGUGCUGAAUAAAGAGAAAAUGGAUUUGGAGCUGUUGAUGUCUGACAUGAAGAAACAAUUUGAAAUAUUGGAAGAAAAGAGACAAAAUGUAAAGAAGAGAGAGACUCAAUGGAAAUCAUGAAGCUUGAACUGCUCAAUAAGAUGGAACAUGUAAAAGGCUGUUAAAUGAGGCAAAUAAAGAAAAAGCCAAUAUUAAAGUUUGUAUCCUUCAGGUUCAAACGGAAAAAGAAAGACUUGAAGACAUUUUAAGCAAGAUUUUCUUAACACAUAGUGAACAAAAAGUCAAGGAAGAUGACCUCAGAAGACAAACAAAAGAACUGGAAAUGAAGAAGAAGCAAUUACAGAGUGAAAGAGAAAAAGUGGAGAGUCUGAUGAGGAAUCUCAACAAGAAGCAAGAAGAGCUUGAACGUGCAAAGGAAAUCAUGAGUGAAGAAAAAGAAGAGGUGAAACAGAUGAAGACUGACAUUGCCAAAGAACGAGAACUGUUGUUGAAGGAAAGGAGAAAUAUGGAAGAAGAGCGGUCUGAGAUGGAAAUGAGAGGAGACCAAGUCAUGGAUGAAAUGAAAUCACUAGAGAUUCUGAAAGUGAAACUUCAACAACUGAAGCAGCAUAUAAAAGCUAAAACGGACAGAUUACUACAAAAUGUUGACAACAGGUCCAUGCUGCAAACAGUGUUGGAAGAAAAACUUACAACUCAAGACAAACAGAAAGAAAACAUUUGCUAUUUCACUGAAAUGUUGGAGAGGGAAAGGGAAGGUGUGAGAACUAUCCUUUCAGACAUGAUCACCAAGAGAGAAUGCACAGAAAAAGAAUGGAAGCAGCAGUUUGAACUGGACAAACGAGAUCUUGAUAAACUGAAAGAAGAUCUGAGACAAGACAGAGAAGAUCUGGAGAGAGAAAGUGAGGUGCUGAAUAAAGAGAAAAUGGAUUUGAAGCUGUUGAUGUCUGACAUGAAGAAACAAUUUGAAAUAUUGGAAGAAAGAGACAAAAUGUAAAAGAAGAGAGAGACUCAAUGGAAAUCAUGAAGCUUGAACUGCUCAAUAAGAUGGAACAUGUAAAAAGGCUGUUAAAUGAGGCAAAUAAAGAAAAAGCCAAUAUUAAAGUUUGUAUCCUUCAGGUUCAAACGGAAAAAGAAAGACUUGAAGACAUUUUAAGCAAGAUUUUCUUAACACAUAGUGAACAAAAAGUCAAGGAAGAUGACCUCAGAAGACAAACAAAAGAACUGGAAAUGAAGAAGAAGCAAUUACAGAGUG
rnacentral:lncRNA from 1 species